ACGGGUGCGUAACGCGUGGGAAUCUGCCCUUGGGUUCGGAAUAACAGUUAGAAAUGACUGCUAAUACCGGAUGAUGUCUUCGGACCAAAGAUUUAUCGCCCAAGGAUGAGCCCGCGUAAGAUUAGCUAGUUGGUGGGGUAAUGGCCCACCAAGGCGACGAUCUUUAGCUGGUCUGAGAGGAUGAUCAGCCACACUGGGACUGAGACACGGCCCAGACUCCUACGGGAGGCAGCAGUGGGGAAUGUUGGACAAUGGGCGAAAGCCUGAUCCAGCAAUGCCGCGUGAGUGAUGAAGGCCUUAGGGUUGUAAAGCUCUUUUACCAGGGAUGAUAAUGACAGUACCUGGAGAAUAAGCUCCGGCUAACUCCGUGCCAGCAGCCGCGGUAAUACGGAGGGAGCUAGCGUUGUUCGGAAUUACUGGGCGUAAAGCGUACGUAGGCGGUUAUUCAAGUCAGAGGUGAAAGCCCGGGGCUCAACCCCGGAACGGCCUUUGAAACUAGAUAGCUAGAGUCUUGGAGAGGUUAGUGGAAUUCCGAGUGUAGAGGUGAAAUUCGUAGA
rnacentral:rRNA from 1 species